rnacentral:rRNA from 1 species
UACAGAGGUCUCAAGCGUUGUUCGGAUUCAUUGGGCGUAAAGGGUGCGUAGGUGGCGCGGUAAGUCGGGUGUGAAAUUUCGGAGCUUAACUCCGAAACUGCAUUCGAUACUGCCGAGCUUGAGGACUGGAGAGGAGACUGGAAUUUACGGUGUAGCAGUGAAAUGCGUAGAUAUCGUAAGGAAGACCAGUGGCGAAGGCGGGUCUCUGGACAGUUCCUGACGCUGAGGCACGAAGGCCAGGGGAGCAAACGGG